UGUUGAAUAAGUCCACGAGAUAAUGAAAUAUCUUGAACAAGUGGGAACAUCUUAUUUGCUACACUCAUAUAUUGAAACCACUUCACUCGCCACAACUUGCACUCCUAUAGUCCUUACACUGUUGGAGAUUCAGGACCUUUAAUUCCUAAAUACCAAGGACAGUCUACAUGCUUCAAAAGAAAACCAAGUUAUAAUAAGAAACAAAUAAAAUUAAUCAGCCUGGAAUCCGAAUAACUCCAUUCAAUGGCCUUGACAGUUGAAAGUAACAAUAACACCAUUAAUCUUCUUCAUCAGGGACACUUCCAUUUAGGAUAUUCAUCGGAGGCUUGACAUAGAACACCACAUUGGGUUCGUGAAGAAUUGCCGCUUCAGAAGUGUAGAGCCUCUUUGGAUUCAGUGGAGUGCUCCGACAAGAGCUGGCUUCAAGCUUGGCAGAUAGUGUUACUCAAAUGUCUCAAGAUGUUGAUAAGGUGAUCAAUCCUAACAGCAUCAGAAUAGAAGCAGAAAAGAGAUGAUGUUGUUUGCAUAUCUGCUUUGAGUGGCCAGGGCUUAAAUGAUUUCUGCAGUGCAAUCCAGGCAAAAUUGAAAGUACUUCUAAUUGUUUCAUACUAUGAGUAAUGUGUGUGCUCUUAUAAGUUAAAAAAUAAGAAUGUCUUUUGUUUUACAGGACUCUAUGGUACCGGUGGAAGCCUUGAUCCUAUUUUGAAAAAAGAGAGCUUCUUAGUACAAUGCAUAAGGUUGAAAUGGUGGAGA